GCAAGGAUAAUUCCGGGGCAACUCCUCCUACCAACACCGAAAGGAAGAAAUCUAAAGUCAUUGCCAUUGGCCUCAACGUGCUUCUCCUCUUCGAAGAACCUCUCGGGUCUGAACUCUUCUGGUUUCUUCCAGUGAGCGGGGUUGUUAGCUAGCCACCAAGCAUUGACCAAGAUUUUGCUCUCAGCUGGAAUAUCAUAUCCAGCAAGCUUUGCAUCAUGAAGGUUCAUGUGUGGGACUAAAAGAGGAAUUGCCAUCCUGAGUCUAAGAGUCUCCUUGAUCACAGCCUGAAGGUACGGAAGCUUGGGCAUGUCUGGCUCAG